UCCGUUGCAGUGAGCUCAGCCACCGCAAAGCCUAGACCCCGUUUCCUCCUCUUCUUCCCCCACCUCCCUCCAUCCAUCUUCUUUCCAUCACCACUUCAGAUCUGAAUUGGUUGGUUCCCCGGAGAGUAAGACGCUUCGGAUUCCAGAUUUGUAGUGGCGGUCGGCGAUGAGGACGGACGGAAUUGAGGGUGAUCUUAUAAUGGCAGCACCUUAGGCUUAUGGCAUUUCGUUGUGAAGUAUGGCGCUUUGGGAUUGGUUGUGCGAGCAUGAAAAGGGGGAAGAUUUGGAGCGUUUGCAAGUUCCUCUGACGCACCAUCAGAGGGAGAAUGAAGACAAGCUUCGGACUGCAUUCACCGUGAUCGGGCGUUAAGCAAAUGUUGGACGACUACAGGCGUAUCAACACGUGACAGGGCAACCGCAGUUUUGGCUCUUGCAACUAGAGAUUCCAAAGCCUGAAGAUUUCGAGAGGCCGGGACAUGUUUUCCCAUUGAGUACAGGGAGGGUGGUGUCCUGAAAAGAGCUGGGCAUGCAGAGGCUUCUGUCGACCUUGCUGUGUUAGCUGGAUUGGAACCUGUGGCAGUUCUCUUCGCAAGGUUGUGGAUGAUGACGGCUUCAUGGCAAGAUUACCUGAGCUUCGUGAGUUUGCAUAGCGGGAGAGCUUGAAAAUUGUAUCUAUUGCUGAUCUAAUCAGAGCGACGUUGGAGGUGAUCAAGAUGUCCUUGUGAGGGUAUCCUGCAUCCCAGGAGACAUGUUUGGAUCUGCUCGACGCAACUGCGACCAGCUUGCAAUUGCGAUGCAGCAGAUAUAAGCGGCUGGUAGGGGCAUGCUGGUCUACCUCCGAGGGCACGAAGGAGAGGAAUAGGUUCGAGGCACAUAUCAUGUGCCUAUAACCUGCAGGAUGGUGAAUAGAGUUCAGUCAUCCAAAGGAGGCCCAGCCCUUUCACUGCCCUCACUCUUCGCAGGAAAGUUGCUGGAGACAGCCUGAUCUAUAGACAAAUGGACGCCUGGAAAGUAAGGGAUAAUUUUCCCGCAUCCAUCAUUGUGAGUUAGGAUAAUAAUUGUGAUGGUUUGUUGAAUUUGAGGAGGACUAUCAGACCAGUCCAUUUUGAGGUUAAUGGUAUUGAUUUAGCUGAAACUGAAGGAGGGGAGGUUGCAAUUACCAACUUGCAUUCAUGCAAUGGUCCUGAUUUUAUUAUUCAAGUCCAUUUUUCGAUCACAGAGGACACUGGCGCAAAUAGAACACUCGGUUUCACGGCAAUUCAUUUUGUUGAUAUGUACUUUUGAUCAGGAUGAGACAAGCUGUAAAAACUAUGAAAAAGAAGUGACAGUUCUUGCAUC